GGCUGCUUAGGGAUGCCCUGGACGUUAAGCUUCAGCUCGAACACCGUGCUCGACUCCUUGACUUCAGUGAAGAUGGUGGUCUUAUGGCUCCCGAUCAUGAGAAACGCGUCCUGAAGACACCAGGCUGACAUCAGUGCUUGUCUGAAGCAACCUGCCGGGCCCCAGAGCCCCUGAAGCCCCACCCCCCCGCCAGCCCUGCGCCGCUCCUCCGGUGCCCGCUCACCUAUGUUUUAUCUUUGAUGUUAUAUGCAUCGGUGUUUUGCUUGCAUGUCUGUCUGCCUGGGUGCGGUUAUCAGAUGUCCUGGAACUGGUUAUGGACAAUUUUUGAGCUGCCAUGUAGGUGCUUGGAAUUGAACCCAGGUCUUCUGGAAGAGCAACCAGUGCCGCUAACCACUGAGCCAUCUCUAGAGCCCCUGCUUGGUUUUUUGUUUUGUUUUUUGUUUUUUUCUUGAUCACUGAAAGUUUCUCCGCUCCAGUGACCAGCAUCAAGUAUCACAGCAAAGCAAAGGUUUCAUCUAGUGGCCUGGUAUCUUGUGAACCACAGCUGAUUCUCCAAACCUCACUUAAUCAGAACCACCAGGAAGGAUCUUGGCAAGACCGGAGAGCCUGCUGAUACUCAGGAACAAAAAU
rnacentral:lncRNA from 1 species